AAUAUUUUGUGCCGCGGGGAGGGCGACCAGUGUAACAUCUUGAGGGUAGCCAGGCUCUCGCUCCAGGGGCAACACCGUAACUUGAGGCAGCAAUAAUUAGUGUUGCAGUCUUUCACAAGUUGCAUGACAAGUUCCUUCCCCUUUAGCAUAUACGGCAGCAACACGGCAAGGCAAGACCUCAAAACUCCUGAGAGUCGUCGACAGCAGGAACCAAAGGCAAAACCCCAGCAAUCCUGCUUCCAUGGAAAAUGAAUUAGCCUCCGAAUCCAUCUAGACACUCUGCUUCAACUUUGCAGGAAGCAGCGUUGCAGCUGUCACUCUAGCAGAUCUGGAAGUGGAUUGUUACUUUGUUAGGGAAGCAGAUCUGCUCGGACGGUCCAUCCUGUCAAAAACCAGCAGUAUCACCCCUGUCCCAGCAAGAGACUAAGCACCUGAAGCUCCGGACGCAUCACCAAGCCUCAGUCUUAAUUCCCUUCCCGAACGCAUCAAAUACGUUCAUAGUGAGCGGUGAGCCCCCUUUUUUAUCGGAAAGAGUACUGAUGACUCUAGUCGGCCAUAAAGCAUGAACUCUCUCCCGUCUCUCCACAAAGCCUUUUUGACUUGGGGGAUGAGAAUUGUUAUUCAGUUUCGCAGAGCUGCUGCUCCCAAUUCACUCUGAACUAGUACUCCCGAUCGAGCCUGUAAGCCGACCAGCUUGAUCACAUGGAGUAUCUCUCCAUCUCUGUGGUAACCUGAAGGCGAGUUAAUCUGUUCCAAGAACCAGUACUCGCUAUCGAGCCU